rnacentral:rRNA from 1 species
UGGGGAAUAUUGGACAAUGGGGGAAACCCUGAUCCAGCGACGCCGCGUGUGUGAAGAAGGCCUGCGGGUUGUAAAGCACUUUUAGUGGGGACAAAAAGCCAGGGGCUAACCCCAUCUGGUCUUGAUUUAACCCCCAGAAAAAGCACCGGCUAACUCUGUGCCAGCAGCCGCGGUAAUACAGAGGGUGCAAGCGUUAAUCGGAAUUACUGGGCGUAAAGCGCGCGUAGACGGUUUUGUAAGUCAGAUGUGAAAUCCCCGGGCUCAACCUGGGAACUGCAUUUGAUACUGCUUGGCUAGGGUACGGUAGAGGGAAGUGGAAUUUCCGGUGUAGCGGUGAAAUGCGUAGAUAUCGGAAGGAACACCAGUGGCGAAAGCGACUUCCUGGACCAGUACUGACGUUCAUGUGCGAAAGCGUGGGGAGCAAACA